CCUACGGGAGGCAGCAGUGGGGAAUAUUGCGCAAUGGCCGAAAGGCUGACGCAGCGACGCCGCGUGGGGGAUGAAGCAUUUCGGUGUGUAAACCCCUGUUGCUCGGGACGAACAACUGGAUUUGUCCAGUCUGACGGUACCGGGUGAGGAAGCACCGGCUAACUCCGUGCCAGCAGCCGCGGUAAUACGGGGGGUGCGAGCGUUGUCCGGAAUCACUGGGCGUAAAGGGCGCGUAGGCGGUCUGCUAAGCGUGUGGUGAAAGCUCGGGGCUCAACCCCGAGUCUGCCAUGCGAACUGGUGGACUAGAGCACUGUAGAGGCAGGUGGAAUUCCGGGUGUAGCGGUGGAAUGCGUAGAGAUCCGGAAGAACACCGGUGGCGAAGGCGGCCUGCUGGGCAGUAGCUGACGCUGAGGCGCGACAGCGUGGGGAGCAAACAGGAUUAGAUACCCUGGUAGUCCACGCCGUAAACGAUGGGGACUAGGUGCUUGGGGGAGCGACCCCUCGAGUGCCGGCGCUAACGCAUUAAGUCCCCCGCCUGGGGAGUACGGCCGCAAGGCUGAACUCAAGGAAUUGACGG
rnacentral:rRNA from 1 species